AGUAACGCGUGGGUAACCUGCCUUGUACAGGGGGAUAACAGUUGGAAACGGCUGCUAAUACCGCAUAAGCGCACAGCAUCACAUGAUGCAGUGUGAAAAACUCCGGUGGUAUAAGAUGGACCCGCGUUGGAUUAGCUAGUUGGUGAGGUAACGGCCCACCAAGGCGACGAUCCAUAGCCGACCUGAGAGGGUGACCGGCCACAUUGGGACUGAGACACGGCCCAG
rnacentral:rRNA from 1 species